CUAGAGUUGGCAUAGUGGUUCAACGCUUUGUCCCUUAAGCAAGAGGUCGUGGGUUCGAUUCCCGCCUCUAGC
rnacentral:tRNA from 1 species